UAAGGAAUAUUGGACAAUGGAGGCAACUCUGAUCCAGCCAUGCCGCGUGAAGGAAUAAGGCCCUAUGGGUUGUAAACUUCUUUUAGACGGGACAAAACUCCUUUACGUGUAAAGGGUUGAUGGUACUGUCAGAAUAAGCAUCGGCUAACUUCGUGCCAGCAGCCGCGGUAAUACGAAGGAUGCAAGCGUUAUCCGGAAUUAUUGGGUUUAAAGGGUGCGUAGGCGGACUAAUAAGUCAGUGGUGAAAGCCUGCAGCUUAACUGCAGAAUUGCCAUUGAUACUGUUAGUCUUGAGUACAGUUGAGGUAGGCGGAAUGUGUCAUGUAGCGGUGAAAUGCUUAGAUAUGACACAGAACACCGAUUGCGAAGGCAGCUUGCUAAGCUGUAACUGACGCUGAGGCACGAAAGCGUGGGGAGCAAACA
rnacentral:rRNA from 1 species